AGUGGCGGACGGGUGAGUAACACGUAAGAAUUUGCCUUUAGGAGGGGGACAACAACUGGAAACGGUUGCUAAUACCCCAUAUGCUUUCGAGUGAAAUGGAUUUUUCCGCCUAAAGAGAAGCUUGCGGCUGAUUAGCUUGUUGGUGAGGUAAUGGCUCACCAAGGCGACGAUCAGUAUCUGGUUUGAGAGGAUGAUCAGACACACUGGAACUGAGACACGGUCCAGACUCCUACGGGAGGCAGCAGUGGGGAAUUUUCCGCAAUGGGCGAAAGCCUGACGGAGCAAUCUCGCGUGAGGGAUGACGGCCUAUGGGUUGUAAACCUCUUUUUUCAGGGAGGAACAAAAUGACGUGUACCUGAAGAAUAAGCAUCGGCUAACUCCGUGCCAGCAGCCGCGGUAAGACGGAGGAUGCAAGUGUUAUCCGGAAUCACUGGGCGUAAAGCGUCUGUAGGUGGUUUAAUAAGUCAACUGUUAAAUCUUGAAGCUCAACUUCAAAAUCGCAGUCGAAACUAUUAGACUAGAGUAUAGUAGGGGUAAAGGGAAUUUCCAGUGGAGCGGUGAGAUGCGAAGAUAUUGGAAAGAACACCGAUUGCGAAAGCACUUUACUGGGCUAUUACUAACACUCAGAGACGAAAGCUAGGGUAGCAAAUGGGAUUAGAUACCCCAGUAGUCCUAGCCGUAAACAAUGGAUACUAGAUGU
rnacentral:rRNA from 1 species